AUGAACGCUGGCGGCAGGCCUAACACAUGCAAGUCGAGCGCGAAAGGUUUUCGGACUGAGUAAAGCGGCGGACGGGUGAGUAACGCGUGGGAAUCUGCCCAGUAGUGGGGGACAACAGUCGGAAACGACUGCUAAUACCGCAUACGCCCUACGGGGGAAAGGGGGGGAUCUUCGGACCUCUCGCUAUUGGAUGAGCCCGCGUCGGAUUAGCUAGUUGGUAGGGUAAGGGCCUACCAAGGCUACGAUCCGUAACUGGUCUGAGAGGAUGAACAGUCGCCGUGGAACUGAGACACGGUCCAGACUCCUACGGGAGGCAGCAGUGGGGAAUAUUGGAAAAUGGGGGCAACCCUGAUCCAGCCAUGCCGCGUGUGUGAAGAAGGCCUUAGGGUUGUAAAGCACUUUCAGUGGGGAGAAAGGUUUGUCACCUAAUACGUGAUGAAAUUGAUGUUACCCACAGAAGAAGCACCGGCUAACUCCGUGCCAGCAGCCGCCGUAA
rnacentral:rRNA from 1 species